rnacentral:rRNA from 1 species
AACGCCGCGUGAGCGAAGAAGGUCUUCGGAUCGUAAAGCUCUGUUGUCAGGGAAGAACAAGUACCGUUCGAACAGGGCGGUACCUUGACGGUACCUGACGAGGAAGCCACGGCUAACUACGUGCCAGCAACCGCGGUGACUGAGCGGGCUGGCAAGGCGCAUA